CCCUUAGAUGUCCGGGGCUGCACGCGCGCUACACUGUAGAAAGCAGCGUGCUUUAAAACCUUUCCUGAAAAGGAUGGGUAACCCCAGCAAAAUUCUACGUGCUUGGGAUAGAGAUUUGCAAUUUUCUCUCUUGAACGAGGAAUACCUAGUAAGUGCGAGUCAUCAGCUUGCGCUGACUACGUCCCUGCCCCUUGUACACACCGCCCGUCGCUGCCCGGAACUGAGCCGUUUCGAGAAAGCUGGGGACUGACGGCUUGUGGGUGCGCAAGCGCUUCUUGCCGAUGGAAACCAGUUUAAUCGGUAUGGCUUGAACCGGGCAAAAGUCGUAACA
rnacentral:rRNA from 1 species